rnacentral:ncRNA from 1 species
AAUAACCAUGGCCAAACUCGUCGCGAGGCGGGGGCGGAAAGCUGCGGGUCUUGUUUGCAAGACGGCCGGGUUGCCAAC